GUUAAUCGGGGCAGGGUGAGUCGACCCCUAAGGCGAGGCCGAAAGGCGUAGUCGAUGGGAAACAGGUUAAUAUUCCUGUACUUGGUGUUACUGCGAAGGGGGGACGGAGAAGGCUAUGUUGGCCGGGCGACGGUUGUCCCGGUUUAAGCGUGUAGGCUGGUUUUCCAGGCAAAUCCGGAAAAUCAAGGCUGAGGCGUGAUGACGAGGCACUACGGUGCUGAAGCAACAAAUGCCCUGCUUCCAGGAAAAGCCUCUAAGCAUCAGGUAACAUUAAAUCGUACCCCAAACCGACACAGGUGGUCAGGUAGAGAAUACCAAGGCGCUUGAGAGAACUCGGGUGAAGGAACUAGGCAAAAUGGUGCCGUAACUUCGGGAGAAGGCACGCUGAUAUGUAGGUGAAGUCCCUCGCGGAUGGAGCUGAAAUCAGUCGAAGAUACCAGCUGGCUGCAACUGUUUAUUAAAAACACAGCACUGUGCAAACACGAAAGUGGACGUAUACGGUGUGACGCCUGCCCGGUGCCGGAAGGUUAAUUGAUGGGGUUAGCGGUAACGCGAAGCUCUUGAUCGAAGCCCCGGUAAACGGCGGCCGUAACUAUAACGGUCCUAAGGUAGCGAAAUUCCUUGUCGGGUAAGUUCCGACCUGCACGAAUGGCGUAAUGAUGGCCAGGCUGUCUCCACCCGAGACUCAGUGAAAUUGAACUCGCUGUGAAGAUGCAGUGUACCCGCGGCAAGACGGAAAGACCCCGUGAACCUUUACUAUAGCUUGACACUGAACAUUGAGCCUUGAUGUGUAGGAUAGGUGGGAGGCUUUGAAGUGUGGACGCCAGUCUGCAUGGAGCCGACCUUGAAAUACCACCCUUUAAUGUUUGAUGUUCUAACGUUGACCCGUAAUCCGGGUUGCGGACAGUGUCUGGUGGGUAGUUUGACUGGGGCGGUCUCCUCCUAAAGAGUAACGGAGGAGCACGAAGGUUGGCUAAUCCUGGUCGGACAUCAGGAGGUUAGUGCAAUGGCAUAAGCCAGCUUGACUGCGAGCGUGACGGCGCGAGCAGGUGCGAAAGCAGGUCAUAGUGAUCCGGUGGUUCUGAAUGGAAGGGCCAUCGCUCAACGGAUAAAAGGUACUCCGGGGAUAACAGGCUGAUACCGCCCAAGAGUUCAUAUCGACGGCGGUGUUUGGCACCUCGAUGUCGGCUCAUCACAUCCUGGGGCUGAAGUAGGUCCCAAGGGUAUGGCUGUUCGCCAUUUAAAGUGGUACGCGAGCUGGGUUUAGAACGUCGUGAGACAGUUCGGUCCCUAUCUGCCGUGGGCGCUGGAGAACUGAGGGGGGCUGCUCCUAGUACGAGAGGACCGGAGUGGACGCAUCACUGGUGUUCGGGUUGUCAUGCCAAUGGCACUGCCCGGUAGCUAAAUGCGGAAGAGAUAAGUGCUGAAAGCAUCUAAGCACGAAACUUGCC
rnacentral:rRNA from 1 species